rnacentral:rRNA from 1 species
UACGGAGGGUGCAAGCGUUGUCCGGAUUUAUUGGGUUUAAAGGGUGCGUAGGCGGCCUUUUAAGUCUGGGGUGAAAGCCCGCUGCUCAACAGCGGAACUGCCCUGGAUACUGGAUGGCUUGAGUACAGACGAGGUUGGCGGAAUGGACUGAGUAGCGGUGAAAUGCAUAGAUACAGUCCAGAACCCCGAUUGCGAAGGCAGCUGACUAGGCUGUUACUGACGCUGAGGCACGAAAGCGUGGGGAGCGAACAGG